UUCUAUAUUAAUGCCAGUGUCAAUUUAUAGCACUUUUAUACACAUUGGCAGUUGACCAAACAGUUGUUUGUUAGACAAACAAAAUCAACAAACAAAACAAGAACGCAUCAUACUUAAUACAAAGGAUGAAUGAGUUUAUAAAUGUUAAGGUGGUAGAGAGGAUGUUUGAGAAUGAACUGAAGAAAACAAAUAACAAAAGAUGCGCUGAGUGGAUGAGAAUUGUACAUCCUGAGAAGUGUCAGUGAGCAUAACAAGGGUGAUUCUACAUUGAUAACUGCCACCACUGUAUCUGGGAAUGGUCCUGGUAAAAGACACCUAGACCACCAGAUGCCCCACUGACUUUCAUCAUAAGGAGGAGAGGAGACUGAGCAAGCCACCGAAGAGGUUUCAGAGCUUCCUAAGGAUGAGAAACUGAAGGCCCAACAGGUUUUGUCCACAACUGAAUUUUCUUCUAUCACAACUCCAACCCAGGAUGACACCAAAGGACAUGUUGGAGACACUAAUUCCUCAUUGGCACCAACUCAGCAGGAAGAAGGCUACUCUGAGGCUUUAGAGACGGGCUCUGAUCAGGAGGUCAGUGAGGAACUGAGGAGGUGUCUGAGCUAAACUGGAGGCCCAACCAGUUUUACAAGCUGAGGUAUCCUUCUCCCUUGCAACUGUAAGAGUCUUUUUGUCAAAGUUAUUUUUAACUACGCUAAACCCCCACUAGCUAGCGAGCUAGCCAUCAAGAAACCAAGCUAAACACAUACAGGGCUCACAAUAAAACGGUCGAGCAAACACAUUGUUCAAGAGACUA